rnacentral:rRNA from 1 species
GACGAACGCUGGCGGCGUGCUUAACACAUGCAAGUCGAACGGAAAGGCCCUGCUUUUGUGGGGUGCUCGAGUGGCGAACGGGUGAGUAACACGUGAGUAACCUGCCCUUGACUUUGGGAUAACUUCAGGGAAACUGGGGCUAAUCCCGGAUAGGAGCUCCUGCUGCAUGGUGGGGGUUGAAAGGUUUCGGCGGUUGGGGAUGGACUCGCGGCUUAUCAGCUUGUUGGUGGGGUAGUGGCUUACCAAGGCUUUGACGGGUAGCCGGCCUGAGAGGGUGACCGGCCACAUUGGGACUGAGAUACGGCCCAGACUCCUACGGGAGGCAGCAGUGGGGAAUAUUGCACAAUGGGCGGAAGCCUGAUGCAGCAACGCCGCGUGCGGGAUGACGGCCUUCGGGUUGUAAACCGCUUUCGCCUGUGACGAAGCGUGAGUGACGGUAAUGGGUAAAGAAGCACCGGCUAACUACGUG